CAUAGUAGCUAGUAAACCUGAUAAUGAAAGUACUAAUAAAUAAAACUAUUAGUAAAUAAAUAUAUUUUUAAUAAAAGAAGCAAUUGAACAAUGAACAACGAAACAUGGUGUCAGAAGCGUAGUCGAAAAUCGCCGAGAGCUUAAAAAGAAUAAAAAAUGAAAGUUAGACAUAAGCCAUUUUCCCUCCAAUAAGUAUAAUAAAAAACGAGAAGUUAAAAAUGGAAUACUUCAAGUCCCCGGAAGCGUUUAACGUACAGGAGCCACAUGGAUGGUCCAAAUGGAAGCAAAUAUUUGAAAUAUUUUUGUUAUCUUCAGGAAAAAACACUAGUUGUAUAUCUAUAAUACAUUUGAAACAACCAAAACUUCAAAACUAGAUGAUGUGUUAUUUUGUUUUGAUGAUCAUUUUUUACCCAAAGAAAUGACAAACAGCACCAAAACAAGUGGUAAGAACGAGGUAAUUAUUCUAAUUCCAAAUAGCCAGAAAACGGGAGGCAGGAAGAAUAUUGGUCAAAUGAACAAGAUGAAGCUGAGGUUAAGAAACUAACAUCAGAAGUACAGGUUUUGGGCAAUGUAAACUCAGAAUUCAGACAUUAUAAGUAGGGACAAUGCAGGUAUUGAGAAUUCUAUUUUUAUUAAUGAGCAUAAGCCAAAUAUUAAAAAGAAUAGCUGGUAUGAACCUAUUAUUGUUAACAAUAUUGACAAUUGACAUUAUGUUUAAGCUUGAAACAGGAGCUGAAUCUAGCGUUGUACCUUUGAAAUAUUUUAAUGAUCUGAUAAAUAUAAAAUUAUUUCAACAUGACAAUAAUUUCCUUUUGAAAUUGAGUGUUUUUAUAAAAGUCAAUUUAAAAAUGUUGAAUUUUUUAUAGUUGAUAUAGAGUCAGGGCCUUCACUGGAGUUAGGUGAUUGUUUACAUUUUAACAUGAUAUCUAGAGGGAGUAUAGUUCAAACCAAGAUGAUGAUAAUACUGCCAAAAACAAGAAAUGGAGUAAAUAAAAAUUUUAAAAACAUUUUUGAGGGCUUCGGAUGAAUUUCAGAUUAUGUGGAAAUUAGAUUAUACAAACACAAAGAAGGUACCAUUGGCCUUUAAUGAAAAACUAAAAUCAACGUUAGAUAAUCUUGAACAAAAAAGUAUAAUUUCUAAAGUUGAGUUUCCAACAGAUUGGGUUAAUUCAUUGAUGAUUGUUGAGAAUUCUAAUGUAUUACUUUGUUUGUGUUUAGAUCCAAAACCAUUGAACAAAUAUAUUUGUCGAGAGCAUUAUAUUAUUCCUAGGUGUGACGAAAUUUUAGCUAAGCUGGAAGGAAAAGCAAUUUAAUCUGUAAUUAAAUUUAAAAAAUAUUAGAAAUGAUCUUUAAAAUAUAUAAAAUUUAACUUUGAUAAGCUGCAAUAUAAAAUGCAACCUUCUAAAAAAAUGUACAAGCUGUUUCGGCGAUUGAAAAACUUUUAGACACAAGAUAUUUACCUAGUCCCUAAGAUGUAUGUCGCAGAUGCAUUAAGUUGAUCUUAUAUUAAAUCAGAGACUCCCUUAGAUACAGAACUAGGAUACACUGUUCAUGCACUCUCUUUAACUGUACCGAUGUCUGCAGAAAAGGAAAUUGUUUUUCAAAAUGCUGUUAAUAAUGAUUGUUGAAUAACUCAUAGCCCAACACUGAUAAAAAGUUGACUUCUGAAUUGAAAUAUUCCUUAAACUUGAGACAUAACAAAUAUUUUUCUGACAAUUUGCUAUUUUAUAACAUAAAAAUUGUUGUUCCUUCUGAAACUUAGAAGUAGUAUGUUUAAAUUAAUACAUUUGACCAACUUUGGAAUGUAAAAAUGUAAAUUACAAUCACGUAAAAUUGUGAUAUGGCUCAAAAUGUCUAAUGAUAUUGAGAACUAUGUAAGAAAUUGUGAAACUUGUCAAUUCAAUAGGCCAGCUAACCUAAAAGAGACUCUUGUGCCCCAUAAAACACCAGAAAGGGGGCGUCCAUGAAUUACGUGAGACAUUUUCUAGGAUUUUUCGACUCCCCACCCUCCUGAUGAGAUUUCGUAAGAUUUUUCUUUACUACCCACACCCCCCCUCCCCCAUUCUCACGUGAGAUUUUUUAUAAUGUGUUUUUGGCUGUAAAAUUCAUUGGAUUUAAAAAAAAUACAAAAAAAAAACAAUUUGCACUAUCACUUUUAUUAAAGACUAGUAUACAAUUGUGAUUUGAGAAUAUUGCCUUAGUUUAAAAUCACUGUGAUGAAAUUAAAUAAUAAAUACUUCAACGUAAAUUAAUAAGAGAUUAUUCUAAUUCAGUCCAUGGAGACUCGUGUACUCCCAAGAGUGACUACUAGAACCAACAUAUUCAAAUAAUUUUCAAUGAAAUCAUCUGCUCCUUCAACUUCGUUCUGAUUGAGCCACUCCAAACCUUUGUCGCUUGCACACAGUCGCUGGUCUUGAAACAAUACACGGUGGUCGCAAUUUAAGUGUUUGCACAGCUCGUGCAUGAUGAGCCAUACGUCGAUGUUCUGCAACUUUUGUGAUGCUUUGUCAUCUUGGGAUAAAAAAGAUAUAGAAUCAGGGCCAAGUAUUGAGGCUACAGUUUCUAGUGACCUUAUGGAAGCUACAGAAAAGUAUUGGUCUUGGUGCAACUCAACUUCACCGGUACAGUCACUACGUGGCGCUUAGCCUACCGCGUAUCUGCCCGUCUAGGCAACAGUGGAAUGUAAGCGGCGCUUCGAGAAAUAUUAAAUCCCAGCUCGAUAAGUUUUUCAGUGAGCAGCUCUGAAAGACUAUGGACACUAGGAACAAUUUCACAGCGACGCCGUUCCUCAGCUGAUGCACCAAACAUAGCUAAAUCACUAAUAGUUUUCAGCAAUUCAGACUGCUCUUCCUCCAAGCGCGGACGUCUAGAGCUUGCUCGAGGUAUCAACGAUUUUGCUGCUCCAGGAUUUUUAGAACACAAUUCGAUAAUUUUUAUUUUUUCUAUGCUUCAUCGAGUAUAGUCUUUGGUUCUCCUUAGGUUUGAGCUGUUUUUCAAAAUUAUCAAUUUCUUGCCUAAACUUCUCAUCGUCGCUGAAUUUUCCGUUUUGUAGCACCUGUAGGGGAAAGAAAAAAUAAAGAAAAUGUGGCACAUACAAAAAAAAAUUGAAUGUAUGAAUGAAUAUCUCUAAAAACAUGCUUAAAAAAUGUAUAAAGUUUUCGAUGCAUCGAUUUAUAUCGAAUAUCCCUAGUCCUGUCAAGAGAUAGAAAAAAGAAGAAGAUAGUAAAGUGAUAAAAAACAUGGUAGCUUGAAAACCUGAUAAUGGAAGUGCUAAUAAAUAAAACUACUAGUAAAUAAGUAUAGUUUUAAUAAAACAUAUAAAAAAAAAGAAAUUGAACAAUAAACAACGAAACAACAUGAAACAGUUGAUUGACUUGUAUGCAAAAUACAGGAAUGAAGUUUGUACUUUCAAAGUAAAAAUGGUUAAAAUUAUGAAGCUGAAGAAAGCCACAGAGUUUAAAAAUAUUAGCAUCCAAAUAACACCAACAUUAUGAAUUAGUGAAAGGUAGUAGGAAGAAGCUUCAGAACAUAUGCGGAUAACCAGAAUAAAACAGGUAAACCUUCCUAUAUUUAGUAUCCUCAUGAUGUGAGUAAAAUGAAGAUAGGUUAGUUGGUGUUUGCUAAUAAAAUUGAGAAUUAAAUGAAAAAUAGGCUAUCAAAGAGAAAAUUAAAAUAAUUUAUAAAUAAACAAUUAUAAUUGGAUAUUUAUUGUUCAAUAGUGACAAAAAAAUUGUUGUUAACUGUGAUAGGGAUGCUAACUUGAAGGUGUAUUGUAAAUCAGUUUCUUUUGUUUAACAAAUUAAUUCCAAACAUUCGUUUAUUGUGAACCUUCAAAUAACUCCUAAUAAAUAAAAUGAAAAAUUGAGGAAUAAAAACAUUAUUUUCUGGAGUUGUAUUAGAUUAGCCCAUAUUGUAUUAUCAAUUUAAAUCUGUUUAUAUAACUGAUGGAAAACAAUCUACAUCCAAUUGAUAUAUGAAAUGAAAAAGGUUCUUUCAGCAGCUGUUUUCAGUAUGGCUGGGGAUUUGGAUACUUUUGCUGGUUUUUACUCUUGUUCUACUGUCUGUUAAGGCAAUCAGGGAAGUGAGUGGCAUAGUGUAUGUAACCAAACUAGCACAUUUUUUAAUUGCAACGGUUGUGAUCAUUAAAACACCAUGAAUACCUUUUCAUAUUAUUAUAUUUUAAUAAUGUAAUCAAUUCUUUUCUGCUAGCUUAUAAUACCUCAAUAUUGCUUCUAGAAAACAUGCUUACAUUUUAUGAAAUAAUGUAAGUAGGUACUUGAAUUGCAAAAAUAAUGAACAUAUUAAUUAAGUGAAUCAUUGCCUUUAAAUGGUUAAUGUAACAGUGUUAUAAAUGUUAUCUCUGCUUCUUGUGAAAAUUGAUAGUUUGAUGAAUUUGAACAGAAGUAAAGUUUAUAGUUCAAUAUAAUUAUCAACUUAUUUUCAACUAAUUUUAUAUUAUAUUUAAUGUCCACCAAAAUGGAUAAAUAGGUG